rnacentral:rRNA from 1 species
UACGGGGGGGGCAAGCGUUGUUCGGAAUUACUGGGCGUAAAGGGUUCGUAGGUGGCUUGCUCAGUCAAACGUGAAAUCCCUCGGCUUAACCGGGGAACUGCGCUUGAUACUGGAUGGCUUGAGAUUGGGAGAGGGAUGCGGAAUUCUUGGUGUAGCGGUGAAAUGCGUAGAUAUCAAGAGGAACACCUGAGGUGAAGACGGGUUGCUGGGCUGACACUGACGCUGAGGCGCGAAAGCUAGGGUAGCAAACGGG